AUUGAACGCUGGCGGCAUGCCUUACACAUGCAAGUCGAACGGCAGCACGGGUGCUUGCACCUGGUGGCGAGUGGCGAACGGGUGAGAAAUACAUCGGAACAUGCCCCGUAGUGGGGGAUAGCCCGGCGAAAGCCGGAUUAAUACCGCAUACGAUCUACGGAUGAAAGCGGGGGACCUUCGGGCCUCGCGUUAUGGGGUUGGCCGAUGGCGGAUUAGCUAGUUGGUGGGGUAAAGGCCUACCAAGGGGACGAUCAGUAGCUGGUCUGAGAGGUCGACCAGCCACACUGGAACUGAGACACGGCCCAGACUCCUACGGGAGGCAGCAGUGGGGAAUUUUGGACAAUGGGCGAAAGCCUGAUCCAGCAAUGCCGCGUGAGUGAAGAAGGCCUUCGGGUUGUAAAGCACUGUUGUCCGGAAAGAAAUCCUUGGCCCUAAAACGGUCGGGGGAUGACGGUACCGGAAGAAUAAGCACCGGCUAACUACGUG
rnacentral:rRNA from 1 species